AUUGAACGCUGGCGGCAGGCUUAACACAUGCAAGUCGAACGAGUGGCGCACGGGUGAGUAAUGUCUGGGAACGUCCCCAGUAGAGGGGGAUAACUGUGCGAAAGGACAGCUAAUCCCGCAUCAUAUGCGAUCCGCCGAUGUCGGAUUGGCUGGGUGGCGGGGUAAAGGCCCACCAAGGCGACGAUCACUAGCGGGUCUGAGAGGAUGACCGGCCACACUGGAACUGAGACACGGCCCAGACUCCUACGGGAGGCAGCAGUGGGGAAUUUUGGACAAUGGGCGCAAGCCGGAUCCAGCCAUGCCGCGUGUCUGAAGAAGGCCUUCGGGUUGUAAAGGACUUUUGUCAGGGAAGCGUUACCUGCAGAAGAAGCACCGGCUAACUACGUGCCAGCCGCCGCGGUAAUUC
rnacentral:rRNA from 1 species